GGCCAGGCUGAAGACUUUGCCGGAUUAGCUGAGAGGUGGUGCAUGGCCGUCGUCAGUUCGUACUGUGAAGCAUCCUGUUAAGUCAGGCAACGAGCGAGACCCACGCCCACAGUUGCCAGCGUACUCUCUGGAGUGACGGGUACACUGUGGGGACCGCCGCUGCUAAAGCGGAGGAAGGAAUGGGCAACGGUAGGUCAGUAUGCCCCGAAUAUCCCGGGCUACACGCGAGCUACAAUGGUUGGUACAAUGGGUAUCUACCCCGAAAGGGGACGGGAAUCUCCUAAAACCAAUCUUAGUUCGGAUUGAGGGCUGCAACUCGCCCUCAUGAAGCUGGAAUCCGUAGUAAUCGUGUCUCAAAAUGGCACGGUGAAUAUGUCCCUGCUCCUU
rnacentral:rRNA from 1 species